CUCAAUCUCCCCUUUGUUUCUCCUCAAUGCAAGAUGAUUGAAGAUCUGCGAGAACGCUAUUUUGGACCCACAUUUGAACUCAAGUCACAUGACAAGUACCCAGAGAUAUGGGCU